rnacentral:rRNA from 1 species
UGCCAGCCGCCGCGGUAAUACGGAGGGUGCAAGCGUUAAUCGGAUUUAUUGGGCGUAAAGAGCACGUAGGCGGCAAUGUAAGUUAGAUGUGAAAUUUCGGGGCUCAACCCCGGAGCUGCAUUUAAAACUGCAUAGCUUGAGGUUAGGCGGAGAAAGAGGAAUUCCAAGUGUAGCGGUGAAAUGCGUAGAUAUUUGGAAGAACACCUGUGGCGAAAGCGUCUUUCUAGCUUAAUCCUGACGCUGAGGUGCGAGAGCAAGGGGAGCAAACAGGAUUAGAUA